AUCUUCACCUGGAGCAGGGGCGGAGGGGAGGAGGGGAAGAGAAGCGUUGGCGGCUGCACCCUGCCCCGCAUCAGCACCGCGGGCAUCCGGUUGCUGCAGCCGCCCUCCCUCCCGCGCCGGCUCAGCUGCACGCCCCGGCACUUCCUCCCACACAUCAGCGUUCUUUUGCCUCAGUGUGAGAAAGCAAUUUGCAUCCAGCCAGCAGGAUUAAGACAGAUGGAAGCAGCCUGCUUUCUCGUCUGAGAAACCCCUCUCAUCUUGCGGAGGCUGCUGUGCGGAAGGCGGAGGGAGCGGUUUAACGUGGCCUCUGCGGGCUGAGUUUCAGAUCUGUGGGUCAGCUGCCUUGGAGACGCCGAAGGAAGAAACUGAGGCUCAGAGAGCUUAAGUAAUUUGCCCAACGUCACCUAGCAGCACAAAAGCAAAUCAUGCUUCUAAAAAAAGAAAUUGGAACCUUACAGCAACUUGGAAAAUGGACGUCCUCCCUAACCUGCUAUUCCAAGUGGGGUCCUGGCUUGGCAUCACCUGGGAACGUGUCAGAAAUGCAGAGUCUCAGGCCUUCCCGCCCUGCCUGGCUGAAUUGGAAUCUGCAUUUCAUAGGAUCCCACUGACUCACAGGCACCUGCAAGUGUGAAGAGCUGGUGCAACCCUCCUCCUCUCCCACCCCCGCGAAGACCACAAGUGUCCCCAGUUUUGUGUGCAUUUGAGAGCCUUUUAAAAAGCACACUCUUCUAACCUCUCAGUAAUUACCUGCAAUUUUGCAGCCGCAUCUAAAACCAAAAUCCUCUUCAAAGCCAUUCAGCAGGGAGCUAACAAAACAUCAUCAUCUUGUCUGUCUGCUCCCACUCUGCCCCCCUCCAACCUGUCACCCCCCCAGUUGCCACAGAGAUCUUUUUAAAAAAAAAAAAGAUAAAUAAAUCAGCUCAUGUCGCUCUC